UUAUCUCUGUAGAGUCUGCAUAUCAAUAAGCGGAGGAAAAGAAACUAACUAGGAUUCCCUCAGUAACGGCGAGUGAAGCGGGAAGAGCUCAAAUUUGAAAUCUUCAAGGUUCUACCUUGACGAAUUGUAGUUUAAAGAAGUGUUUUCUGUUGGAUGUUUUGGUAAAAGUUCUUUGGAAUAGGACAUCAUAGAGGGUGAGAAUCCCGUAUUUGACCAUUACUUCCAGCGUUGUGAUACACUUUCAAAGAGUCGGAUUGUUUGGGAAUGCAGUCCAAAAUGGGUGGUAAAUUUCAUCUAAAGCUAAAUAUUGGCGAGAGACCGAUAGCGAACAAGUACCGUGAGGGAAAGAUGAAAAGAACUUUGAAAAGAGAGUUAAACAGUACGUGAAAUUGUCAAAAGGGAAGCGUUUGACACCAGUGUUGUUUUCUCGAAAAUCAAUUAAAAAAGGCAGGAUUUUGUGUUGUAUUGACUUUAUCAGCUUUCUGCACUCUUUUCUUGUCUUUUUUUAAUGCACUUUUCGUUUAACAAGUCAACAUCAAUUUCUUUUGUUGUAAAAGAGGUCAUUGGAAGGUGGCUUUCCUUUCGGAUGAAAGUGUUUAUAGCCUUUGGCCUCUGCAAUCGGAGAGAUUGAGGUCUGCAGCGUAGAUCCUUCGGGGCUAGAUACAUUAGAUGCUAAGUUAUAGCCUUUUCAUAGACAACUUGUUGACUAUAAUUCAGUCAUGUAGCUUACUCGCUUAUGCUAUUUUACCUACGCUUAGGAUGUUGAUAGUCACAGCGUGUAC
rnacentral:rRNA from 1 species